CCUACGGGGAGCUGCAGUCGAGAAUCAUUCACAAUGGGGGAAACCCUGAUGGUGCGACGCCGCGUGGGGGAAUGAAGGUCUUCGGAUUGUAAACCCCUGUCAUGUGGGAGCAAAUUAAAAAGAUAGUACCACAAGAGGAAGAGACGGCUAACUCUGUGCAAGCAGCGGCGUUAAGCAGGAGGUCUCAGGGGUUGUUAGGAAUAAUUGGCCGUAAGCCGUGCGUAGGCUGUUUCGUAAGUCGUGUGUGAAAGGCGCGGGCUCAACCCGCGGACGGCACAUGAUACUGCGAGACUAGAGUAAUGGAGGGGGAACCGGAAUUCUCGGUGUAGCAGUGAAAUGCGUAGAUAUCGAGAGGAACACUCGUGGCGAAGGCGGGUUCCUGGACAUUAACUGACGCUGAGGCACGAAGGCCAGGGGAGCGAAAGGGAUUAGAUACCCCUGUAGUC
rnacentral:rRNA from 1 species